UCCCUGGUGGUCUAGUGGUUAGGAUUCAGUCCUUUCACUGCUGCAACCCAAGUUCAAUCCCUGGUCUUGGAA
rfam:Sus scrofa isolate TJ Tabasco breed Duroc chromosome 1, whole genome shotgun sequence.